AGAAGCGAGUAGCUUAACCGCAACGGGGGGGCGACGUCGACCACGGUUACUGAUUACGUAUGACUGGGGUG
rnacentral:rRNA from 1 species